GGAGUCUGGGCCGUGUCUCAGUCCCAAUGUGGCCGUACAUCCUCUCAGAUCGGCUACUGAUCGUCGCUUUGGUGGGCCGUUACCCCGCCAACUGGCUAAUCAGACGCGGGUCCAUCCUGCAGCGAUGAAUCUUUCCCGGAAGGAUCAUGCGAUCCCUCCGGCGUAUGCGGUAUUAGCAGCCGUUUCCAGCUGUUGUCCCCCUCUGCAGGGCAGGUUACCCACGCGUUACUCACCCGUCCGCCACUAAGUUAUUCCCCGAAGGAAAUAACUCCGUUCGACUUGCAUGUGUUAAGCACGCCGCCAGCGUUUAUC
rnacentral:rRNA from 1 species